AUACGGAGGAUCCGAGCGUUAUCCGGAUUUAUUGGGUUUAAAGGGUGCGCAGGCGGCCAUUUAAGUCAGCGGUUAAAUCGUGGGGCUCAACCCCAUUCUGCCGUUGAUACUGGGUGGCUUGAUUGCGGUCGAGGUUGGCGGAAUUCGUUGUGUAGCGGUGAAAUGCAUAGAUAUGACGAAGAAUACCGAUUGCGUAGGCAGCUGACCAGAUCGCAAAUGACGCUCAUGCACGAAAGUGCGGGGAUCGAACAGGAUUAGAUACCCUGGUAGUCCGCACAGUAAACGAUGAAUACUUGUUUUCGGCGAUAUAAUGUCGGAGGCAAAGCGAAAGCGAUAAGUAUUCCACCUGGGGAGUACGCCGGCAACGGUGAAACUCAAAUGAAUUGACGGGG
rnacentral:rRNA from 1 species